UACAGAGGUCUCAAGCGUUGUUCGGAUUCAUUGGGCGUAAAGGGUGUGUAGGUGGCGCCGGUAAGUCGGGUGUGAAAUUUCGGGAGCUUAAACUCCGAAACUGCAUUUCGAUACUGCCGUGCUUGAGGACUGGAGAGGAGACUGGAAUUUACGGUGUAGCAGUGAAAUUGCGUAGAUAUCGAUAGGAAGACCAGUGGCGAAGGCGGGAUCG
rnacentral:rRNA from 1 species